rnacentral:rRNA from 1 species
GACGAACUGUGCGAACGUUGUUCGGAAUCACUGGGCUUAAAGGGUGCGUAGGCGGCUUGUUAAGUCGGGGGUGAAAUACUUCGGCUCAACCGGAGAAUUGCCUUCGAUACUGGCGAGCUGGAGGAAGGUAGGGGUCGCGGGAACUGCCAGUGGAGCGGUGAAAUGCGUUGAUAUUGGCAGGAACGCUGGUGGUGAAGACGCGCGGCUGGACCUUUUCUGACGCUGAUGCACGAAAGCCAGGGGAGCAAACGGG